ACUGGUGUUCAGUUUUCUUAAUUGUGAAAUCUGAGGUUUCUACUUUGGGAGCCCUAUAGUUUCAAACAGAUUUUAAUUGUGUGUGUGUAUAUAUUGAUACAUUUAACACAUAGUAUGUCUCAUUGUUUUGAGUUGGAAGGUGAGUCAGAAGCCAGCUAGAUGGACAUUGCUAGAAGAGGAAUUCUCCUCUGUUUUGACAAAAGUUUUUUACUGGCUAGGGAUUCCUAGAGGACUGGUCAUACCUCUUUGCACUCUCGCCUUAUACAAAAAGCACAGAAUAAACACUGGCCAGAUGGAAAUGAACUAAGUGAUGCCCUUUAUACUAACGCGCAUAUCCAUUUCACAAUGCCAUGGACCAAUGUUCUCAUCUCAGUUGUGACUUAACUCUCUCUCCCCAACGAGCGAGGGGCUGAAUGAUCACCUUAGUCUUCACCGGAAGAAUUCUCCUGGGAUGACUUCAAGGAGUGUACCAGUAAGAUAAGACAGAAAAUGAAGAAAGGAGAUAAGAGAAAAAAAAAGAUGUCUGACUAAAUGAGGGUGCCAGUGCUCCUUGGAGUCAGAAAACGCUGAUUCCGGCUCUGGGAAGAAAGUGAUCCUGGACCAGCCUCUUGCUCCAGAAGGUGAGAAAGCCUCCUGUUCUUCCGGUCACGACAGAAGGAAUCAGAAGCCGACUAAAAAGUUUUUCCAGGGGCCACAUAGAGACAAUUUUAGCGUCAAACAAAUGAUAACUACAAUUGACGGCAACACGUUGGACCCAUUAGGUCAGACUGAUGCUGGGAAUAAAGGCAGAACAGAAACAUAAAGUUUUUUUUAAAAAAAUUUCACCCUUUUUAAAGAAUAAAUUAUUCUGAAAACUAGUGAAGGUAGCGCAUAAAACAAGCAUUUAUCUCAUUUUAUUUGUGGAAACUGUGCUUUGGGGGAACAAAUGAGUGUUGAAGGAAUGGUCUUUAUAGAUGAAAUCUGGGCAAUACAAGAGGAAAUCGGAACUAUUAGGUUGGUGGAAAAACCGUGAUUACUUUUGCACCAACCUGAUACAAUAUCCCAGUUGGGCAAUCUCGAAUGACGCAAGAUGAGCGUCAUCAUCAUCAUUGCUGCCAACCCAUCUGGUGAGGAGCUGGGAGAGAGCGUGGAAACACUGAGCCGGCGGCUCCAUCGUUACAACGCCGCAGGCAAACAAGGGGAAUUCUGGGAGAGAGCGUGGAAACACUGAGCCGGCGGCUCCAUCGUUACAACGCCGCAGGCAAACAAGGGGAAUUCUGGGAGAGAGCGUGGAAACACUGAGCCGCGGCUCCAUGGUUACAACGCCGCAGGCAAACAAGGGGAAUUCUGGGAGAGAGCGUGGAAACACUGAGCCGGCGGCUCCAUCGUUACAACGCCGCAGGCAAACAAGGGGAAUUCUGGGAGAGAGCGUGGAAACACUGAGCCGGCGGCUCCAUCGUUACAACGCCACAGGCAAACAAGGGGAAUUCUGGGAGAGAGCGUGGAAACACUGAGCCGGCGGCUCCAUGGUUACAACGCCGCAGGCAAACAAGGGGAAUUCUGUGGCUCCAGUGUGACACGGUGAGGGGCGCACAUCGCCGUGAACUCCUUUUUCCCCCACAAAAAUCCGAAUCAAAUUAAGCCUCUACAUUAGCGCUGUUCAACAGAAAUAUCACGUGAGCUAUCUUACAGUAUUUAAGACAGGAAUCUUAAAUUUUCUAGUAACCACGUUAAAAAGGUAAAAAGAAAUUGUUGAAAUUAAUCGUAUGUUUUAUUUAUCCCAAUGUACCAAAAAUAUAAUUUCAUAAUGUUAUCGAUGUAAAAAGUAUUGAUGUGAUAUUUUACAUUUUUUCAUACAUCUUUGAAAUCUUGUGUAAAUUUUGCAUUAGCAGUACAUCUUCCAUUGCUGAUUUCUCAUUGGAAAUAGUCUGUAUUUAGAGUUUGUAAAAUUUCCAGCUGAAAAACUAGAUUUGUGAGCCGCAGUUGCUCCAGUCGUACUUGAAAAUCUUCCAACAACCAAAUAGAGUGUGUUUUAAAAUUUACAUUAAUUUCAAUUAACUAAUAUUAAAAGUUUUACAGAAGCCACAUUUCAAGUGUUGAACAGCCACACGUACUAGUGGCAAGUGUGUUAAACAGCACAUAUGUAAAUCUCGUCACCAGUCCACAGGAACGCACAUGGUACCAAGAAGGGAAAGAAGAUACCACGUAUGUGCAGUCACUCAAUUCAGAGUGUGGAAAAUGCUACAGGGUAAGGAAUCUGGUUAAUUGCAAUUAAAAAAAGAGAGAGAGAUAACCUGUAUAUAAAAUAAAUUUAAGAGACUUGUCCAAGUAAAUGUAAUGUUUGAAAUGUGUUGAAUUCUGAUUUAAACAAGCCAAACGUGUCUAUACAUAUGUGUACACACAUGGGCACAUAUAUACAAACACAUGCAUAUAUAUACAUUUACAAUCAAUCUGAACACUCUUCAAGUACAUACUUUAUAGAAUUAGUUAUUGCUAAUUUUUUUAGCCAUAUCGUGGUUAUAUUUUAAAAGAGAAAGGGACUAUUUUGUAGAAACACAGACUGAAGUAUUUACAAAUGAAAUGAUUUCAAGUCUGAGAUUUCCAUAAUAAUCCCGGGGAGAGGAAGAGGUUACAUGGGAUUUUAGAUGAGACAAGUUGGCCUGGGUUCAUAAUUGUUGAAACUGCAUGAUGGAGGCCGGGCGCACUGGCUCACACCUGUAAUCCCAGCACUUUGGGAGGCUGAGGCAGGC
rnacentral:lncRNA from 10 species